rnacentral:miRNA from 1 species
AGAUGUUCUGGGACUACAAUUCCCAGCAUCCCUGACCACUGGUCCUGUUAGCUAGGGAUGAUGGGAGUUGUAGUCCCAAAACAUCU